GACGUAGGUGGCGAACGUUAUCCGGAUUUACUGGGCGUAAAGGGCGCGUAGGCGGCACUGCAAGUCAGUUGUGAAAUCUCCGGGCUUAACCCGGAAAGGUCAACUGAUACUGCAGGGCUAGAGUGCAGAAGGGGCAACUGGAAUUCUCGGUGUAGCGGUGAAAUGCGUAGAUAUCGAGAGGAACACCUGCGGCGAAGGCGGGUUGCUGGGCUGACACUGACGCUGAGGCGCGAAAGCCAGGGGAGCGAACGGG
rnacentral:rRNA from 1 species